UCUAGAGGGCCGGUUGGAGAGGUUGUAUAUCUUCUCCCCUUUGCAGUACAACAAUAUUGUUUUGUUACUAACAUGUAGGAGUCUUCAGUAGACAAUACACUGGGUAUUAAAAGACUGAAAAAAACCUUCUAUAUCAAUUUAUUUAACUCAGGACUGCUUUAUGCAUUCUUCUAAGUCAAGGAUUUACACUGAGAAACAUAACAAAAGUUAUCAAAUGCAAGCAGAAUUUUGAAUUCAAAAGAUCUAAAUGCUGCCAAAAUAUUAAAUUAUUUAUCAGAAAAAAAAAAAGCACUUCAGUAAUUUGAAUCAAGUCUUAUUGCUUUCUCUGUUUUGACCAGGUGAUGAGAGUGUUGAUCAUG
rnacentral:misc_RNA from 1 species